rnacentral:rRNA from 1 species
CCCAGACUCCUACGGGAGGCAGCAGUGGGGAAUAUUGCACAAUGGGGGAAACCCUGAUGCAGCGACGCCGCGUGAGUGAAGAAGUAUUUCGGUAUGUAAAGCUCUAUCAGCAGGGAAGAAAUAGCGACCUUUGGGUCGCCAGACGGUACCUGAUUAAGAAGCUCCGGCUAAAUACGUGCCAGCAGCCGCGGUAAUACGUAUGGAGCAAGCGUUAUCCGGAUUUACUGGGCGUAAAGGGAGCGUAGGCGGCCUGCCAAGUCUGAUGUGAAAUACCGGGGCUCAACCCCGGGGCUGCAUUGGAAACUGGCAGGCUGGAGUGCCGGAGAGGCAGGCGGAAUUCCUAGUGUAGCGGUGAAACGCGUAGAUAUUAGGAGGAACACCAGUGGCGAAGGCGGCCUGCUGGACGGUGACUGACGCUGAGGCUCGAAAGCGUGGGGAGCAAACAGGAUUAGAUACCCCAGUAG